AGCGAACGCUGGCGGCAGGCCUAACACAUGCAAGUCGAACGAAGUCUUCGGACUUAGUGGCGGACGGGUGAGUAACACGUGGGAACGUACCUUUUGGUUCGGAACAACUCAGGGAAACUUGAGCUAAUACCGGAUGAGCCCUUAGGGGGAAAGAUUUAUCGCCGAAAGAGCGGCCCGCGUUAGAUUAGCUAGUUGGUGAGGUAAAGGCUCACCAAGGCUACGAUCUAUAGCUGGUCUGAGAGGAUGAUCAGCCACACUGGGACUGAGACACGGCCCAGACUCCUACGGGAGGCAGCAGUGGGGAAUCUUGCGCAAUGGGCGAAAGCCUGACGCAGCCAUGCCGCGUGAAUGAUGAAGGUCUUAGGAUUGUAAAAUUCUUUUUCCAGGGACGAUAAUGACGGUACCUGGAGAAAAAGCCCCGGCUAACUUCGUGCCAGCCGCCGCGGUAAAAC
rnacentral:rRNA from 1 species